rnacentral:rRNA from 1 species
UAUACUUGGGAGUCAGACUGUGGGUGAUAAGAUUCAUAGUCGAAAGGGCAACAGCCCAGAUCGUCAGCUAAGGUCCCUAAAUGUAAGUUAAGUGGUAAAGGAUGUGGGAUUGCACAGACAACCAGGAUGUUGGCUUAGAAGCAGCCACUCAUUCAAAGAGUGCGUAAUAGCUCACUGGUCGAGUGAUCCUGCGCCGAAGAUUUCCGGGGCUAAAACUUACUACCGAAGCUACGGCAUCAGUAAUGAUGGGUAGGGGAGCUUCCCAUACGGGUUGAAGCAUGACCGUAAGGACAUGUGGACAGUAUGGGAGUGAGAAUGUUGGCAUGAGUAGCGAGAUGUGGGUGAGAAUCCCACAGGCCGUAAACCCAAGGUUUCCAGGGGAAGGUUCGUCCGCCCUGGGUUAGUCGGGACCUAAGCUGAGGCCGAAAGGCGUAGGUGAUGGACAACAGGUUGAUAUUCCUGUACUACCGAUAACCGUUUGAGAGAAGGGAUGACACAGUAGGAUAAGCUAAGCACACUGUUGGUUAUGUGUGCCCAAGCAUUGAGGCAGUCAAAGUAGGCAAAUCCGCUUUGAUAAUGCUGGGAUGUGAUGGGGAGCGAAAUUUAGUAGCGAAGUAGCUGAUUUCACACUGUCAAGAAAAGUCUCUAUCGAGGUUAAAGGUACCCGUACCGCAAACCGACACAGGUGGGUGAGGAGAGUAUCCUAAGGCCAGCGAGAGAACUGUUGUUAAGGAACUCGGCAAAAUGACCCCGUAACUUAGGGAUAAGGGGUGCCACCAUCAGGUGGCCGCAGAGAAUAGGCCCAAGCGACUGUUUACCAAAAACAUAGGUUUCUGCUAAGUCGCAAGACGAUGUAUAGGAGCUGACGCCUGCCCGGUGCUGGAAGGUUAAGGGGAUCUGUUAGAGCAAUCGAAGCAGUGAACUUAAGCCCCAGUAAACGGCGGCCGUAACUAUAACGGUCCUAAGGUAGCGAAAUUCCUUGUCGGGUAAGUUCCGACCCGCACGAAAGGCGUAACGAUUUGGGCACUGUCUCAACAACAGACUCGGUGAAAUUGUAAUUCCGGUGAAGAUGCCGGAUACCUGCGACAGGACGGAAAGACCCCAUGGAGCUU